rnacentral:rRNA from 1 species
UACGAAGGGGGCAAGCGUUGUUCGGAUUUACUGGGCGUAAAGGGCGCGUAGGCGGAAUUGUAAGUCAGAGGUGAAAGCCCUGGGCUCAACCCGGGAAUGGCCUUUGAGACUGCAAGUCUUGAGUGCGAGAGAGGGUGGCGGAAUACCCAGUGUAGAGGUGAAAUUCGUAGAUAUUGGGUAGAACACCAGUGGCGAAGGCGGCCACCUGGCUCGCAACUGACGCUGAGGCGCGAAAGCGUGGGGAGCAAAC